rnacentral:rRNA from 1 species
UCCAGACUCCUACGGGAGGCAGCAGUGGGGGAUAUUGCACAAUGGGGGGAACCCUGAUGCAGCGACGCCGCGUGAGGGAUGACGGUCCUAUGGAUUGUAAACCUCUUUUGUCAGGGAGCAAAGGGCGCCACGUGUGGCGUUUUGCGAGUACCUGAAGAAAAAGCAUCGGCUAACUCCGUGCCAGCAGCCGCGGUAAUACGGAGGAUGCGAGCGUUAUCCGGAUUUAUUGGGUUUAAAGGGUGCGCAGGCGGAAUGUCAAGUCAGCGGUAAAAUUUCGGGGCUCAACCCCGUCGUGCCGUUGAAACUGGCGUUCUUGAGUGAGCGAGAAGUAUGCGGAAUGCGUGGUGUAGCGGUGAAAUGCAUAGAUAUCACGCAGAACUCCGAUUGCGAAGGCAGCAUACCGGCGCUCAACUGGCGCUCAUGCACGAAAGCGUGGGUAUCGAACAGGAUUAGAUACCCCGGUAAAG